CUGGCGGCGUGCUUAACACAUGCAAGUCGAGCGGUAAGGCCCUUCGGGGUACACGAGCGGCGAACGGGUGAGUAACACGUGAGCAACCUGCCCCUGACUCCGGGAUAAGCCGGGGAAACCCGGUCUAAUACCGGAUGGGACGCCUCGUCGCAUGGCGGGGUGUGGAAAGGUGUCUUUCCGGUCAGGGAGGGGCUCGCGGCCUAUCAGCUUGUUGGUGGGGUGAAGGCCUACCAAGGCGAUUACGGGUAGCCGGCCUGAGAGGGCGACCGGCCACACUGGGACUGAGACACGGCCCAGACUCCUACGGGAGGCAGCAGUGGGGAAUAUUGCGCAAUGGGCGGAAGCCUGACGCAGCGACGCCGCGUGGGGGAUGACGGCCUUCGGGUUGUAAACCUCUUUUACCACCGACGCAGGCCCGCGCUUCUGUGCGGGUUGACGGUAGGUGGGGAAUAAGGACCGGCCAACUACGUGCCAGCAGCCGCGGUAAUACGUAGGGUCCGAGCGUUGUCCGGAAUUAUUGGGCGUAAAGAGCUCGUAGGUGGCGUGUCGCGUCUGCUGUGUAAGUCCGGGGCUUAACUCCGGUUUUGCAGUGGAUACGGGCAUGCUAGAGGUAGGCAGGGGAGACUGGAAUUCCUGGUGUAGCGGUGAAAUGCGCAGAUAUCAGGAGGAACACCGGUGGCGAAGGCGGGUCUCUGGGCCUUACCUGACGCUGAGGAGCGAAAGCGUGGGGAGCGAACAGGAUUAGAUACC
rnacentral:rRNA from 1 species